rnacentral:rRNA from 1 species
GGAAUAUUGGACAAUGGGCGAGAGCCUGAUCCAGCCAUGCCGCGUGCAGGAAGACGGUCCUAUGGAUUGUAACCUGCUUUUCUACGGGAAGAAACACCCCCUCGUGAGGGGGCGUGAAGGUACCGUAAGAAUAAGGAUCGGCUAACGCCGUGCCAGCGGCCGCGGUAAUACGGCGGAUCCAAGCGUUAUCCGGAAUCAUUGGGGUUAAAGGGUCCGUAGGUGGAUAAUUAAGUCAGAGGUGAAAUCCUGCAGCUCAACUGUAGAAUUGCCUUUGAUACUGGUUAUCUUGAAUUAUUAUGAAGUAGUUAGAAUAUGUAGUGUAGCGGUGAAAUGCAUAGAUAUUACAUAGAAUACCAAUUGCGAAGGCAGAUUACUAAUAAUGGAUUGACACUGAUGGACGAAAGCGUGGGGAGCGAA